GGUAAACUGUUACUAAUGAAGCUGUGCCAUUUCGUACUAUGAUUUUGGUCACUGUUUCUCUAACAGUAAAUUUAAAAAAAAAAAAAAGAAAAAAAAAAAGAAAAAAAAAAGAAAAAAAAAAAAAAAAGAAAAAGAAAAAGAAAAGCACUAAAAUCAACCGGAAAUCCUCCUCAGCAGGAGACGAUACAUCAAUGUAAAGCUGAUCUGCAGUCCUCUCAGAUUUAUUCUGUAGGGAGCAACCUCUGCCGUCCAGGGCACAGAUUACAUGACCUAAAAUUCCCUCUCCUUCUAUUCCGGUGAUGCAGUUAUUUUAGCAACUUCGUUCCUUUUCUCCUGUCGGGUAAUAGUAUUAGUGGUGGAUCUGCCAGGGGAAGCCAGGGCUCUCAGAGAGUUGUAAAAAUAGACCGGGGCAUCCAAAGGAGCGUUUAUGGCUAUCCCCGCGGGUAUCUGAGGAAUUGCAUUAAGGACUCGUCUAUCUUAUCACGGGAGACAAGCUUUGUUCUCCCGGGGCUCUCUCUCUCCCCGCCGGGUGCCCGCAGCCGGGGAGCGAGCGGGGAGCGGCGGGCAGGGGGGGGGGGGGGGGGGGGGGGGGGGGGGGGGGGCGAGCGGGGAGCGGCGGGCAGCGCUGCGAGCUGUGCGCUUAACUCCUUCCUUGCGGGACAGUUCUCGGCCACAGAGGAAACAGCAGCCGCUCUGUCCCGUCUCUCCCAUUCAAUUACUGCAGAAGGAACACUGGAAACCAGGCAGGACUGCUCUAGAGGCAGGUGAAUCGGGGUGAUUGCCAAAGGCGCAAUCUUAAAAAAUAGUGGAGGAGUGCUUCAGCUGUGGAUGGAUGAGAAAAGCCCUUGCUUCAGACUCUGCCACCACUCCCAAGUCUCUCUCCAGUUUUAAAAAGAGACAGUCCUUCAUGCUCUGAUUGAUUGCUGGUACAAAGCCAAAGGCAGUGAAAACUGCUAGCCUCCCUCAGCCUAAUGCCACGCCUCAGACCAGAAUAAAAUCAAGGCUGGACCUUUUCCUGUGGUAAAUCAGCUUAUCUCCCUUCAAGCACCUGACUUACACUUAACAGAAAUAUAUAUAUGGACUAGCGUGCAGACUGCACCAUCUCAUCCUUACACACUGCUAUUAUCAGGAUAUGUGAGAUUAUGUGAGCAGUUUACAUACACACGCAAACACAGCAAUGCAAUUACAAGCUAGAGUAUGUAAUGCAAACAGAUGAGCCAUCAGCAGAACUGGCAGAAGGCAAAUAUCUGUUUUAGCUGUUGGCAGUUUUGUGAAGUACCAAUAGCACAGCAGUCACCCAGCUGAAGCAAUGGAAAUAUGUGCGUGACCCACCUCGGUGCAUUUCUCAUGUGUCACAGAUUCUUCUCUAUCUGAAAUCAGAGGGGCCAAAGUAUCCUAGGAAUCCUUCUGAAGGGGCUGCCCUUGCAUAACAAAAAUAUCUCUGUUUGGACUAUGAAACAAGCUCCCUGACUGUACCUGUGAAUUUCCUUUGAAUGUGUCCAGCCUGAGCACAACUGAAUUCUCUGCUGCAGCUUGCAGUGAUUUUAAAGGCAUUAGAGAAAAAGACCCUUCAAAAUAUUCUAAUUUUCCAACUAUUUUAAAGAAAAAAUGGGGCUGAAGUAUCAGGAUAGAGAUGCUUCCUUGUAAAACAGAGUUCGUCACUUAGGAUAUUAUUUGCACAGAGCUAAAAUUGCUCGCUUGUUUACAAACAUGUUUGUAAUGUGUAAAUGUAUGCAAACAUUAAAAAAGCCUAUAGGUUUACAAAUGUAUUUUAUUUGACAAAAACAAAUGACAAGAAACAGAAAGCCUAAUGCAGAAAUCACAACAUGCAAUGACAGUGUGACCAAGACCCCCACAGCUCUAAUGCUGGUGCAGGGCGCACUUAUUUCUGUGCAGAACCUCUCCAGUGCCCAAGUCCUGUUUGGAACAGGAGCCCUGGAGAUGUUUAUGUUUGUUCCAAAAUUGUAUUUUUAGACAGCAUAAAUCAUGGCAUAAUAAGGGAAAUUUACUCCAGUUUCAGCUAUGCUGAAGGAUAUGCCACUUCCCCAGCUGAGUAAACAAUGCCCCUUACUAUUGGAAGAGAUUGGGAAGACUGCUGAUUUGCAGCCUUUUUCCACUGCAACCUUAACCAAACAGAGUUUAAUUAGAUCAAUAAUGAUCCAAGUUACUUUGGGCAGAGAGGACUUUCAGUUCCUUUAACAGUGAUGAAUCCACUGCCUCAGAGAGAAAAAACAGAAACAAAGCAGA
rnacentral:lncRNA from 12 species